rnacentral:rRNA from 1 species
UACGGGGGGAGCAAGCGUUGUUCGGAUUUACUGGGCGUAAAGGGCGCGUAGGCGGCCACCGCAAGUCGACUGUGAAAUCUCCGGGCUUAACCCGGAAAGGUCAGCCGAUACUGCGGGGCUAGAGUGCAGAAGGGGCAACUGGAAUUCUCGGUGUAGCGGUGAAAUGCGUAGAUAUCAGGAGGAACACCAGUGGCGAAGGCGGCUCACUGGCCCGGUACUGACGCUGAGGUGCGAAAGCGUGGGGAGCAAACAGG